rnacentral:rRNA from 1 species
CCCUUAGAUGUUCUGGGCCGCACGCGCGCUACACUGAUGCAUUCAACGAGUCUAAAACCUGCUCUGAUAGGGGUGGGUAAUCUUUUGAAUGUGCAUCGUGAUUGGGAUAGAUGAUUGCAAUUUUUCAUCUUCAACGAGGAAUGCCUAGUAAACGCAAGUCAUCAGCUUGCAUUGAUUACGUCCCUGCCCUUUGUACACACCGCCCGUCGCUCCUACCGAUUGAAUGAUCCGAUGAAUAUCAUGGAUUGAGGAUGCAAUUAGGUUCGCCUAUCUUCAUCUUCGAGAAGUGAAGUAAAUCUUAUCAUUUAGAGGAAGGAGAAGUCGUAACA